AACCAUUCUGUAAUUGCAGACCUUGUCUCUUAACUUAGCAGAGCCUCUGACAGGUGGAUGCCAUUUACAGGGUCCCGGAGCUGUGAAAAGCCAGUCUGACUGUCUGUUUUAGAACUCUUAAGUUCAGGUAAGCAAUUUUGUAAAUUAAUGUCAGUUAUCUCUCUUUUGUUUGAAGCUGGUUGGGGUAGAAACUCCAUGUUCCAAAAUUUUGUCACCCUGACCAAUAAAAUGCCCCCUGCUUUCAAACACAAUCAGACCUGCUUUAGGGGAGGAUCGUCUCUGCUUUGUUUGAACCUUGAUUAAAAUGGAGAUCAGAAAGACUCACAGAUGUCUCUUCUCCAAACUCAAUAAACCCCAGGUCCUCUUACUUUUCAUCUUACAUUUUCUCUCUUUAUAAAAGUAUAAACACAUGGUUGUCUGCAGAGUUGUAGGUUAAAGCUAUAAAUUUAUUUUAUUAAACAGAGAGGAAUUGGUGAAACUGAAAGACACUAUAACCCUGACAUUUUCAUGAAAUAAUAUUCUUGUCUGAUUUUUUUUAGUUUUUACUCAGAUAUCACUCAAGUUACACAUAAAUGGUAAUUUUUCUUUAUAAUAAGCUUCCAUCUCUUGUAUAAAUUUAAUGUGUUCAGUGAUGACUGUGGAUAAAGUCACCUAAUGCUGAUUUUCUACGGGAGGUAAACUUUAUUGUCAUAAUUUCCUGGUUAUUACCUAGUAAAACAAGUUUUUAAAAAACCAAAAAACAAUAGACUUAAAACCAUAAAGACUUUUUUAGUAUUCGG
rnacentral:lncRNA from 1 species